rnacentral:rRNA from 1 species
GGCAACAGCUCAAAUUUGAAAUCUGGCCCUUUCGGGGUCCGAGUUGUAAUUUGUAGAGGGUGUUUCGGGUGAGACGUCGGCCUAAGUCCCUUGGAACAGGGCGUCAUAGAGGGUGAGAAUCCCGUAUGCGGCCGGUGAUCGAGUCCAUGUGAAACCCCUUCGACGAGUCGAGUUGUUUGGGAAUGCAGCUCUAAAUGGGUGGUAAAUUUCAUCUAAAGCUAAAUACUGGCCAGAGACCGAUAGCGCACAAGUAGAGUGAUCGAAAGAUGAAAAGCACUUUGGAAAGAGAGUUAAAAAGUACGUGAAAUUGUUGAAAGGGAAGCGCUUGCAACCAGACCUGUCGUCGGGUGAUCAGCCGUCGUUUUCGGCGGUGCACUCGCCCGGUCGCAGGCCAGCAUCGGUUUGGGCGGUUGGAUAAAGGCCGCGGGAACGUAGCUCCCCUCGGGGAGUGUUAUAGCCCAUGGUGCAAUGCAGCCAGCCCGGAUCGAGGAUCGCGCUUCGGCUAGGAUGCUGGCGUAAUGGUUGUAAGCGGCCCGUCUUGAAACACGGACCAAGGAGUCUAACAUCUACGCGAGUGUUUGGGUGUCAAACCCAUGCGCGGAAUGAAAGUGAACGGAGGUGAGACCCCUUAAGGGCGCAUCAUCGACCGAUCCAGAUGUCUUCGGAUGGAUUUGAGUAAGAGCGUAGCUGUUGGGACCCGAAAGAUGGUGAACUAUGCCUGAAUAGGGUGAAGCCAGAGGAAACUCUGGUGGAGGCUCGCAGCGGUUCUGACGUGCAAAUCGAUCGUCAAAUUUGGGUAUAGGGGCGCUUUUUCGCCCCUCAUAGCCUGUACUACAGGCUCUAGUCCUCUGGGCGAGGCUUGCGAUCUACGGGGAUGUCUGCCGCCAGCGGACUGCCCGUACCCACCCGGCUGCCCGGGCCUGGGCCACAGAUCAAGCGUAAGCCGGCGGUUGUCCGAUGUUUCGGGCCGCUUUAGAUAUGAUCGGGCGGUGGCUAUAGAGGCUGCC